AUGAACGCUGGCGGCGUGCCUAAUACAUGCAAGUCGAGCGAACGGACGAGAAGCUUGCUUCUCUGAUGUUAGCGGCGGACGGGUGAGUAACCCGUGGAUAACCUACCUAUAAGACUGGGAUAACUUCGGGAAACCGGAGCUAAUACCGGAUAAUAUUUUGAACCGCAUGGUUCAAAAGUGAAAGACGGUCUUGCUGUCACUUAUAGAUGGAUCCGCGCUGCAUUAGCUAGUUGGUAAGGUAACGGCUUACCAAGGCAACGAUGCAUAGCCGACCUGAGAGGGGGAUCGGCCACACUGGAACUGAGACACGGUCCAGACUCCUACGGGAGGCAGCAGUAGGGAAUCUUCCGCAAUGGGCGAAAGCCUGACGGAGCAACGCCGCGUGAGUGAUGAAGGUCUUCGGAUCGUAAAACUCUGUUAUUAGGGAAGAACAUAUGUGUAAGUAACUGUGCACAUCUUGACGGUACCUAAUCAGAAAGCCACGGCUAACUACGUG
rnacentral:rRNA from 1 species